UUAAUUGAAGAGUUUGAUCAUGGCUCAGAUUGAACGCUGGCGGCAGGCCUAACACAUGCAAGUCGAGCGGCAGCACAGAGGAACUUGUUCCUUGGGUGGCGAGCGGCGGACGGGUGAGUAAUGCCUGGGAAAUUGCCCGGUAGAG
rnacentral:rRNA from 1 species